rnacentral:rRNA from 1 species
UGAGAGAACUCUGCUGAAGGAACUAGGCAAAAUGGUACCGUAACUUCGGGAGAAGGUACGCUGCUGACGGUGAUGGGACUUGCUCCCUGAGCUAUUGGCAGCCACAGAAACCAGGCCGCUGCAACUGUUUAUUAAAAACAUAGCACUCUGCAAACGCGAAAGUGGACGUAUAGGGUGUGAUGCCUGCCCGGUGCUGGAAGGUUAAUUGAUGGGGUUAGCGUAAGCGAAGCUCUUGAUCGAAGCCCCAGUAAACGGCGGCCGUAACUAUAACGGUCCUAAGGUAGCGAAAUUCCUUGUCGGGUAAGUUCCGACCUGCACGAAUGGCAUAAUGAUGGCGGCGCUGUCUCCAGCAGAGGCUCAGUGAAAUCGAAAUCGCCGUGAAGAUGCGGUGUACCCGCGGCUAGACGGAAAGACCCCGUGAACCUUUACUGCAGCUUGACAUUGAACUUUGACCUUACUUGUGUAGGAUAGGUGGGAGGCUUUGAAGUUGGAACGCCAGUUCCAAUGGAGCCGUCCUUGAAAUACCACCCUGGUAAUGUUGAGGUUCUAACUCUGCCCCGUAAUCCGGGGCGAGGACCAUGUCUGGUGGGUAGUUUGACUGGGGCGGUCUCCUCCUAAAGAGUAACGGAGGAGUACGAAGGUGCGCUCAGCGUGGUCGGAAAUCACGCGUAGAGUAUAAAGGCAAAAGCGCGCUUAACUGCGAGACCCACAAGUCGAGCAGGUACGAAAGUAGGUCUUAGUGAUCCGGUGGUUCUGUAUGGAAGGGCCAUCGCUCAACGGAUAAAAGGUACUCUGGGGAUAACAGGCUGAUACCGCCCAAGAGUUCAUAUCGACGGCGGUGUUUGGCACCUCGAUGUCGGCUCAUCUCAUCCUGGGGCUGAAGCAGGUCCCAAGGGUAUGGCUGUUCGCCAUUUAAAGAGGUACGCGAGCUGGGUUUAGAACGUCGUGAGACAGUUCGGUCCCUAUCUACCGUGGGCGCUGGAAAUUUGAGAGGAUCUGCUCCUAGUACGAGAGGACCAGAGUGGACGAACCUCUGGUGUACCGGUUGUGACGCCAGUCGCAUCGCCGGGUAGCUAUGUUCGGAAGGGAUAACCGCUGAAAGCAUCUAAGCGGGAAGCCUACCUCAAGAUAAGAUUUCCCUUGAACUUUAUGUUCACUAAAGAGCCGUUCGAGACCAGGACGUUGAUAGGUUGGGUGUGGAAGCACGGUGACGUGUGAAGCUGACCAAUACUAAUUGCUCGUGAGGCUUGACCA